GCGAGGGUUGCCAAGCCAGGUCAAAGGCGCCAGGUUGAGGGCCUGGUCCCGCAGGAGUUCGUGAGUUCAAAUCUCACUCCUCGCA
rnacentral:tRNA from 1 species